rnacentral:misc_RNA from 1 species
GAACGCACAUUGCGCCCUUUGGUAUUCCGAAGGGCAUGCCUGUUCGAGCGUCAUUAUCACCCCUCAAGCCCCCGGCUUGGUGUUGGACGGCUUGGUGGAGACCCCCUCGCGGGUCCCUACCCCUCCCAAAGACAAUGACGGCGGCCUCGUCGGACCCCCGGUACACUGAGUUCUUCACGGGACACGUAUCGGACACACGGGUUUACGGGCCACGGUCUGCCUCCCCUCAGGGAGAAUUUUUUACAAGGUUGACCUCGGAUCAGGUAGGGAUACCCGCUGAACUUAAG